rnacentral:rRNA from 2 species
CGGCGAGUGAAGCGGCAACAGCUCAAAUUUGAAAUCUGGCCCUUUCAGGGUCCGAGUUGUAAUUUGUAGAGGAUGUUUCGGCGAGUGCUCCCGUCUAAGUUCCUUGGAACAGGACGUCAUAGAGGGUGAGAAUCCCGUAUGUGAUGGGUUGCGCGAGCCAUGUGAAACUCCUUCGACGAGUCGAGUUGUUUGGGAAUGCAGCUCUAAAUGGGAGGUAAAUUUCUUCUAAAGCUAAAUACCGGCCAGAGACCGAUAGCGCACAAGUAGAGUGAUCGAAAGAUGAAAAGCACUUUGGAAAGAGAGUUAAAAAGUACGUGAAAUUGUUGAAAGGGAAGCGCUUGCAACCAGACUUGCCCGCAGUUGCUCAACCCGCCUCCUGGCGGGUGUACUCUUCUGCGGUCAGGCCAGCAUCAGUUCGGGCGGCCGGAUAAAGGCGUCGGGAAUGUAGCUCCUCUCGGGGAGUGUUAUAGCCCGGCGCGACAUGCGGCCAGCCUGGACUGAGGAUCUCGCUUCGGCUAGGAUGCUGGCGUAAUGGUUGUAAGCGGCCCGUCUUGAAACACGGACCAAGGAGUCUAACAUCUAUGCGAGUGUUUGGGUGUCAAACCCAUGCGCGUAAUGAAAGUGAACGGAGGUGGGAACGCGCAAGCGUGCACCAUCGACCGAUCCUGAUGUCUUCGGAUGGAUUUGAGUAAGAGCAUAGCUGUUGGGACCCGAAAGAUGGUGAACUAUGCCUGAAUAGGGUGAAGUCAGAGGAAACUCUGAUGGAGGCUCGCAGCGGUUCUGACGUGCAAAUCGAUCGUCAAAUUUGGGUAUAGGGGCGAAAGACUAAUCGAACCAUC